rnacentral:ncRNA from 1 species
UCCGUAGAGCACGGGAGCCCCGGGUUACCGGCGGGGCUGAGAGUGGGCACAGCCAGCAGAACUGGACCUGCCCUUACCGUCACACCUGAUCCGGGUCAUGCCGGCGAAGGGAGCAGCAGAUGCCACAUU